GGGUGAGGGGCUCAGACAGCCCCUCAUGGUGCACAUGACAUGUGUAAUUCUGCUCCUUCCCAAGAGGCACCACCACAGAUGCCCACUUCUGGAAGGUUCCAUCCCCUGCAGGCCUGGUCUCCACAAGCUCCAUGUCCUGGGUCAGCUCCUCCCCAUUCAACUGCCAGGUCAGGGUGAUGUCAGCAGGGUAGAAGCCCAGGGCCCAGCACCUCAGGGUGACA